rnacentral:rRNA from 1 species
AGCGUUGUCCGGAAUUAUUGGGCGUAAAGAGCUCGUAGGCGGUUUGUCGCGUCUGCUGUGAAAUCUGGGGGCUCAACCCCCAGCCUGCAGUGGGUACGGGCAGACUAGAGUGCGGUAGGGGAGAUUGGAAUUCCUGGUGUAGCGGUGGAAUGCGCAGAUAUCAGGAGGAACACCGAUGGCGAAGGCAGAUCUCUGGGCCGUAACUGACGCUGAGGAGCGAAAGCAUGGGGAGCGAACAGGAUUAGAUACCCUGGUAGUCCAUGCCGUAAACGUUGGGAACUAGAUGUGGUGACCAUUCCACGGUCUCCGUGUCGCAGCUAACGCAUUAAGUUCCCCGCCUGGGGAGUACGGCCGCAAGGCUAAAACUCAAAGGAAUUGACGGGGGCCCGCACAAGCGGCGGAGCAUGCGGAUUAAUUCGAUGCAACGCGAAGAACCUUACCAAGGCUUGACAUAUACCGGAAACGGCCAGAGAUGGUCGCCCCGCAAGGUCGGUAUACAGGUGGUGCAUGGUUGUCGUCAGCUCGUGUCGUGAGAUGUUGGGUUAAGUCCCGCAACGAGCGCAACCCUCGUUCUAUGUUGCCAGCACGUUAUGGUGGGAACUCAUAGGAGACUGCCGGGGUCAACUCGGAGGAAGGUGGGGAUGACGUCAAAUCAUCAUGCCCCUUAUGUCUUGGGCUUCACGCAUGCUACAAUGGCCGGUACAAAGGGCUGCGAUACCGUAAGGUGGAGCGAAUCCCAAAAAGCCGGUCUCAGUUCGGAUUGAGGUCUGCAACUCGACCUCAUGAAGUCGGAGUCGCUAGUAAUCGCAGAUCAGCAACGCUGCGGUGAAUACGUUCCCGGGCCUUGUACACACCGCCCGUCAAGUCAUGAAAGUCGGUAACACCCGAAGCCAGUGG